rnacentral:rRNA from 1 species
CCUACGGGAGGCAGCAGUGAGGAAUAUUGGUCAAUGGACGCAAGUCUGAACCAGCCAAGUAGCGUGCAGGAUGACGGCCCUCCGGGUUGUAAACCGCUUUUAGUUGGGAAUAAAAGGCGGCUCGUGAGCCCCGUCUUGUAGUUACCAUCAGAAAAAGGUCCGGCUAAUUCCGUGCCAGCAGCCGCGGUAAUACGGAGGAUGCGAGCGUUUUCCGGAUUUAUUGGGUUUAAAGGGUGCGUAGGCGGAGCGUUAAGUCAGUGGUCAAAUUGAGGGGCUCAACCCCUUCCCGCCAUUGAAACUGGCGCUCUUGAGUGGAAGAGAAGUAUGCGGAAUGCGUGGUGUAGCGGUGAAAUGCAUAGAUAUCACGCAGAACCCCGAUUGCGAAGGCAGCAUGCCGGCUUCCUACUGACGCUGAAGCACGAAAGCGUGGGGAUCGAACAGGAUUAGAUACCCGAGUAGUC